rnacentral:lncRNA from 1 species
AUGGCUGAAAAGUCUUAUUGGAUUGGGACUCUAGUGAAGAGUCCCACUGGAACUAGGACUCUGGAGGAGAGUCUCACUGGACUGGGACUCUAGAGGAGAGUCUCACUAGACUGAGACUCUGCUAUUAAUAAAAUAUUUAUUAAUAAUUAGAUUGCUAAUUGAUUCAAUUUGAUCGAGCAAAGAGUUUUAGAUCAAGUCUAAUUAAAUUGG